rnacentral:rRNA from 1 species
GACGAACGCUGGCGGCAGGCUUAACACAUGCAAGUCGAACGCCCCGCAAGGGGAGUGGCAGACGGGUGAGUAACGCGUGGGAACAUACCCAUCACUACGGAAUAACUCAGGGAAACUUGUGCUAAUACCGUAUACGACCGAGAGGUGAGAGAUUUAUCGGUGAUGGAUUGGCCCGCGUUGGAUUAGCUAGUUGGUGGGGUAAAGGCCUACCAAGGCGACGAUCCAUAGCUGGUCUGAGAGGAUGAUCAGCCACAUUGGGACUGAGACACGGCCCAAACUCCUACGGGAGGCAGCAGUGGGGAAUAUUGGACAAUGGGCGCAAGCCUGAUCCAGCCAUGCCGCGUGAGUGAUGAAGGUCUUAGGAUUGUAAAGCUCUUUCACCGGUGAAGAUAAUGACGGUAACCGGAGAAGAAGCCCCGGCUAACUUCGUGCCAGCCGCCGCCGUAACAC